rnacentral:lncRNA from 1 species
GGAAAUCUCAGCCAUUCAGCGUUUGGGUCAAGAUGAAGGCGGGUUCUGGACAGACGUACCCAGUCAGGGAAUGUUUACUUUGCCUCCACUUCUGUUCCUCCCCGCCCUGGUGCUGCUCCGGGUCACAUACUCGUCCUGAGCCGGCUUCAGCCUCUCCGCGCAGAAGUCUCCCGGAGCCGACUUCUGAGAGUCGAGUACUCCUAUGUGAAGACUACCAAGCUCGUGUUCAAGGGAACCAAGGCGAAGAGGCGAGAUGGAAAGAAAGUAUCAAGGAGUGAGCUGAAGCCACUGCCCUUGAGAACCCUCUCGAGGAGUCUGGGCUCAUGAGGAUGCCAGAAUAAGUGGCAGUAAGAAGAAAAAGAACAAAGAUAAGAAAAGAAAAAGAGAAGAAGAUGAAGAAACCCAGCUUGAUAUGUUGGAAUCUGGUGGACAGUAACAAACUUUGGUGAAAUUUCAGGAACCAUAGCCAUUGAAAUGGAUGAGGGAACCUAUAUACAUGCACUCGAUAAUGGUCUUUUUACCCUGGGAGCUCCACACAAAGAAGUUGAUGAGGGCCCUAGUCCUCCAGAGCAGUUUUCGGCUGUCAAAUUAUCUGAUUCCAGAAUCACCCUGAAAUCUGGCUAUGGAAAAUAUCUUGGUAUAAAUUCAGAUGAACUUGUUGUUGGGCGUUCAGAUGCAAUUGGACCAAGAGAACAAUGGGAACCAGUCUUUAAAAUUGGGAAAAUGGCUUUGUCGACCUCAAAUAGCUGCUUUAUUAGAUACAGUGAAGCAGAGGACAUAGAAGCAAAAAGUAAAACAGCAGGAGAAGAAGAAAUGAUCAAGGUAAUGAUGACAUUUUAUACAGAUGACUGCAUUCACACAUGCGAUGUGACUGUAUCUCUUUAAAAUGUUAAGUCAUCAUUUACAGUCACUUUAAAGAUUUAGUUAAUGGCUUUUUAUAAUGUGGUGUUUCAAAUAGAGUCAUUUUAAAUUAUAAAUCCCAUAGUUGAUGGCUUGUUUAUACAAUGUGGUAGAGAAAUCAGUGCAUCUAGGAGCUACCUUGCCAUUAUCUCCAUGGAUUAGUAUCUUUUUCUGGUAGUUCCACGUGCUCUUUUUAAGCUUUCGUUUUCUUGUUUUCUUGCUUGUACUUUAAAAUCUAAUUUUUAAAAUAGAUAACGUGUACACGUGGUCCAACAUUUUUAAAUAAAAGCAUAUGAAGAUGAA